AGAGGUCUACAGACUGUCCUGUCUGUCCAGAGGUAUGCAGACUGUCCUCCUGGAGACAGUCCUGUCUGUCCAGACAUCUACAGAGGUCUACAGACUGUCCUCCUGGAGACAGUCCUGUCUGUCCAGACGUCUACAGACUGUCCUCCUGGAGACAGUCCUGUCUGUCCAGAGGUCUACAGAGGUCUACAGACUGUCCUCCUGGAGACAGUCCUGUCUGUCCAGAGGUCUACAGACUGUCCUACUGGAGACAGUCCUGUCUGUCCAGAGGUAUACAGUGGUCUACAGACUGUCCUCCUGGAGACAGACCAACAGUCUUUUCUCUUUUAAACAAAACAAUUAUUUAACAGUACCAAAAUCAAAACAGACACUAAACUUUCACUAUCUUUUUAUUUGAUUUCUGUCCUCCUGGAGACAGUCCUGUCUGUCCAGACGUCUACAGACUGUCCUCCUGUAGGAUUACCCCACUCAGAAUCUCUGUUACUCUGCAGUAAAGAGGUGGAAGUGAGAAAUUCUGUGUUACUUUGUAAGCCAUUACAACAA